GUAGCUUGCAAGACGUAGCCGUUCUAGCUCAGUUGGUAGAGCGCGUGGCUUUUAACCACGUGGUCGUGGGUUCGAGUCCCACGGAUGGCGU
rnacentral:tRNA from 1 species